UACGGGGGGGCAAGCGUUGUUCGGAAUUACUGGGCGUAAAGGGCUCGUAGGCGGCCAACUAAGUCAGACGUGAAAUCCCUCGGCUUAACCGGGGAACUGCGUCUGAUACUGGAUGGCUUGAGGUUGGGAGAGGGAUGCGGAAUUCCAGGUGUAGCGGUGAAAUGCGUAGAUAUCUGGAGGAACACCGGUGGCGAAGGCGGCGAUCCUGGACCAAUUCUGACGCUGAGGAGCGAAAGCCAGGGGAGCAAACGGGAUUAGAUACCCGGA
rnacentral:rRNA from 1 species